rnacentral:rRNA from 1 species
CGUCCCCGCCAUCUGGCAGGUACCUACGUGUUACUCACCCGUCCGCCACUCGUUGGCGACCAAAAUCUAUCAGGUGCAAGCACCAUCAAUCAAUUGGGCCAACGCGUUCGACUUGCAUGUAUUAGGCACACCGCCGGCGUUCAUCCUGAGCCAUGAUCAAACUCAAGGGU